rnacentral:misc_RNA from 1 species
GAUGAAGAACGUAGCGAAAUGCGAUAAGUAAUGUGAAUUGCAGAAUUCAGUGAAUCAUCGAAUCUUUGAACGCACCUUGCGCUCUUUGGUAUUCCGAAGAGCAUGCCUGUUUGAGUGUCGUGAAAAUAUCAACCUUGACUUGGGUUUUGUGCUCUAGUCUCGGCUUGGAAUUGGGUGCUUGCCGCUUUUACGAGCGGCUCACCUUAAAUGUAUUAGCUGGAUCUGUCUUUGAGACUUGGUUUGACUUGGCGUAAUAAGUAUUUCGCUAAGGACAUUCUUCGGAGUGGCCUCGUUUCUAGGACGCUUGUCCGCUUUCCAAUACAAGUUCCACCUCGUGGACAUGACUUUUUAUUAUCUGGCCUCAAAUCAGGUAGGACUACCCGCUGAACUUAAGCAUAUCAAUAAGCGGAGGA